rnacentral:rRNA from 1 species
CCAGCUGUAAACGAUGGAUGCUAGGUGUAGGGGGUAUCGACCCCCUCUGUGCCGCAGUUAACGCAUUAAGCAUCCCGCCUGGGGAGUACGGCCGCAAGGCUGAAACUCAAAGGAAUUGACGGGGGCCCGCACAAGCGGUGGAGCAUGUGGUUUAAUUCGAUGCAACGCGAAGAACCUUACCAGGGUUUGACAUGUCGGUUUACUGAACUGAAAAGGGAAGGACCCGGUUUCCGGGAGCCGACACAGGUGG